rnacentral:rRNA from 1 species
UACGGGGGGUGCGAGCGUUGUCCGGAAUCACUGGGCGUAAAGGGCGCGUAGGUGGUUCUGUGUGUCUACUGUGAAAGCGUACGGCUCAACCGUAUUUAGUCGGUAGAAACUGCAGGACUUGAGGCUGGGAGGGGCUGGUGGAAUUCCCUGUGUAGCGGUGAAAUGCGUAGAGAUGGGGGAGAACACUCGUGGCGAAGGCGGCCAGCUAGACCAGUUCUGACACUGAGGCGCGACAGCGUGGGGAGCAAACAGG